ACAAACCCCCAAGUCUCAAUUGUCUUAACCCUUGACAUAAGAUAAUAUUAGUCCUACCUCAUAGAGUUUUGCAGUAAAUUACACAGAAAUAAAAGCGCUUAUGGGGACCUAAGACAGAUCCUAUCCCAAAUAGCCAAGCAGUGAGUGCUACACUAUUCUUUUCUCAUAUGUUCUACCCAGAAUCAAGAUUUCACUGGAUUUCCCUUGAGGUGCACAUUUCCUGGAUGAUUUCCACUUGUGAAAUAGAAGAAGAUUCGUUUCAAAAAAAAAAAAAAAAACACCUGGCCAGGCGCCGUGGCUCACGCCUAUAAUCCCAGCACUUUGGGAAGCCGAGGCGGUUGGAUCACCUGAGCAGGAGUUCGAGACCAACUUGGCCAACAUGGUGAAACCCCAUCUCUACUAAAAAAAUACAAAAAUUAGCUGGGCACGGUGGCGAGCACCUGUAGUCCCAGCUACUCGGGAGGCUGAAGCAGAAGAAUCGCUUGAACCUGGGAGGUGAAGGUUGCAAUGAGCUGAGAUCAUGCCACUGCCACUCAGCCUGGGCAAGAAGAGCGAAACUCUGUCUCAAAAAAUAAAUAAAAUAAAUUUUUAAAAAUUUUAAGAACCUUAUUUUAAAGAUCAGGUUUAUAAAGUCUCAUCAUAACAAAAUGAAGCCAAAACUUUGUAAAUUAACUAGAGUUAGCUUAGCUAACAUUUUACCUAAUAAAUUACUAAUGACAUUUUUAAAACAAAACUGAUUUGACAUCAGGAAAACUAAGCAAUAAUUUUUGUUCAUUUCUACUUCGUGGACUCAAACAUACCAUGAACAAUCAGAUCUAUAUGUAGGCUGCUUUCUCAACAAAGGAACUGUUUGGUAUUUUUCUCUUCUUUUUUAAGUCUACUAAAGGCUGUGUAAACUUGGAAGUGGGGAAUUUUCAGAAAGUUCUCAGAAAGAUGCUUGUCACUCACAACUAGCAAGUUGUGGGUUUUCAGAAUCUAUAAAGUAAAAGUCACUUAAAAGUCCGCAUCUUGGCACCAUUGUUGUUAAUGAGGCCAUGAGUGGCAAAGCCCCUUUCCCCAUUCACAUAACAAAAGCAAAGCAAAACCCUUCAGUCCUGCCACUAAAGCCAACCAAAACACACAUGCGGCCAGGAAGCUUUCAUAUAUAAAAUACAGGAACCCCCAGCGGAAUGCAUUCCAAUGUGGCAGUUAUUUGGCUCUGGUCUCCAGAGGAUCUCGGUUCCCAGGAUUGAAACAUCUCUUUCAGGAAAGACGUGUAGGUAAAGUUUCACGUGGCGUGAGAUCCAGUUGGAUUCUUUUGGUACUGUUACAUAAGGAACAAACUUCUGUAUGCUGCAAACUGCAGAAAGCCUUUAUUCAUAAGGUAGAGGUACCUCAAAAGCUGUCCGAUAAAAACACAUUUCUACUGAUGAUGUUUGAUAUGGUUUCUAUUCACACAGAAAUGGAGCUCACAAUUAACAUGAUGCAUUAUGUCCAUCUCAAUAGCAAUUUAAAAAUUAUUUGAAACUUCUUCUACAUACUAUAUGUAUGUUUGCAGCACUUAUCCUCUUUUUUUUUUUUUUUUUUUUUUUUGAGAUGGUGUCUCCCUCUGUCACCCAGGCUGGAGCGCAAUGACACGAUCUUGGGUCACUACUGCCUGUGCCUCCUGGGUUCAAGCAAUCUUCUCACCUCAGCCCCGAGUAGCUGGGAUUACAGGUGCACGCCACCAUGCCCAGCUAAUUUUUGUAUUUUUAGAAGAGAUGGGGUUUGGCCGUGUUGGCCAGGCUAGUCUCCAACUCCUGACUGCAAGUGAUCUACCCACCUCGGCCUCCCAAAGUGCUGGUGAGAGGUGACAGCGUGCUGGCAGCCCUAGCAGCCCUCGCUCACUCUCUGCACCUCCUCGGCCUCGGCGCCCACUCUGGCCGCUCUUGAGGAGCCCUUCAGCCUGCCACUGCACUGUGGGAGCCCCUCUCUGGGCUGGCCGAGGCCGGAGCGGGCUCCCUCACCUUGCGGGGAGGUGUGGAGGGACAGGCGUGGGUGGGAACCAGGGCUGAGCACUGGGCUUGCAGGCCAGUGCAAGUUCCAGGUGGGCGUGGGCUCGGCAGGCCCCGCACUCGGAGCGGCUGGCCGGUUCCGCAGGCCCCAGGCAGUGAGGGGCUUAGUACCCAGGCCAGCAGCUGCGGAGGAUGCGCUGGGUCUCCCAGCAGUGCCGGCCUGGCCCACCAGCGCUGUGCUGGAAUUCUCGCUGGACCUCAGCUGCCUCCCCGCAGGGAAAGGCUGGGGACCUGCAGCCUGCCAUGCCUGAGCCUCCCCCACACCAUGGGCUCCUGAGCGGCCUGAGCCUCCCAGAUGAGCGCUGCCCCCUGCUCCACGCGCCCGGUCCCAUUCCGACCGCCCAAGGGCUGAGGAGUAGUGUGGGCACAGGUCGUGGGACUGGCGGGCUCCCUGAUGCAGGAUCCACUAGGUGAAGCCAGC
rnacentral:lncRNA from 1 species